GUCAUGUUGAUCAGAGACGCAAAACAGUGUUGUGGCAGUGUUUGGAAUGUUUUUUGUUGGCGAAAUAGCGCAAAAACAGCCAAUAUGCUGUCU